GAUCUGGUAGCUCAGUUGGUAGAGCAAUACACUUUUAAUGUAUGGGCCCUGGGUUCGAGUCCCAGCCGGAUCACAA
rnacentral:tRNA from 4 species